rnacentral:lncRNA from 1 species
AAGAUGUUAAUUCCUAUGAUGAGUUAGCAUUGAAAAAGGCCGUUGCAAAUCAGCCCGUGAGCGUUGCUAUUGAAGGAGGAGGAAGGGAAUUUCAACUUUAUUCAUCUAUAAGUUUCCAAUCUGAUUUUAUUCAUGACCUGGAAAAGAAGGUGUGCCUAUUGCAUAGAAAGAAGUAGAAUAGGAAGAUCCAAAGUCUAAGUGAAAAACAUGUGGUUUAUUUUUUGCUUUUUAUUAGAACAUAAAAACUUUCACUCUCUCCCUAUUCAAUUUUAAACAAAAUUGGUUUUGCAAUGUUGACAUAAUUUUUUAAUCUGUAUAUUUCAUAUUUAUGAGGGUGUCUUCAGCGGAAGAUGUGGAACAGAUCUAGAUCAUGGUGUUGUGGCGGUUGGGUAUGGUACAGAAAACGGUCAUGAUUAUUGGAUUGUGAGAAAUUCAUGGGGUGCUGAUUGGGGAG